AAAAAUCACCACCUCCACGACGCACAACGACUCACAAACUCACGCCGAAAUGCCGACUUGACGCGAUGCCACCACUUGCACUCAUCUUCAAAGCUGACAGAAGAGAUGGGGGAAGGAGGGAGAGAGAUUCGGAGGAAGAGAGAUUUCAAAAGAAAAGAGGGGAAUCGGCAUGCACAAGAGUUCAUGGAAGCUUUUCCUAGAGUGCUUACAUGUCGUCCAUCUAUUGGAUGAUGCAAAAUUGGGUUUGAUACCCAUCCAGUUUGAAACUUUUCCCUAAAUAAAACUGCAUCUUGAACAAGAAUACAUGUUAGUGGAUACAUAAAAAACAUUAAAAAAAAUGCUCACUACAUAAGAAGAAAAAAAUGUCAUAUUAGUUAGGCCUGUGCAUAAAAGGGCCUAGCCCGAUCAACCCGAAAGAUCCAACAUGGACCCAUCCGACUAAAGUCAAGUCCAUUGGUUCAAAGCUAAUAACAAGUAUAUUACCCCCAAUUAUAGGUUGAAACCGAUCACCCGAGGAAAUCAUUUUGAACAAGGAGAUCGAUCUCUUUACUCUCUUCGUUUACAAAGAGCUCGAUUGGUUGAGCUAGGAUGUGCUCGUCGCCAUAAAAAAGAUGCACAAGAAGAUCCAAGCCAAUGAGAUUCCACGAUAGAUCUCAUUUACUUGUGAGAUUCCAAAAGUAUACAUUUCCUUUUUCGCAAAACCCAGAUUUGGAAAAGAAUCUCAUACCUUUGUCCUUUGUAGAGAAGGUUUCUUUUAGAGUGGGUCCGAGCAUAUGCUGAUAAAUAUGGAAAAGAAAUAUUUCUUUACCCUUCAUGCAAAUACGCACCUAGCACCUUCCUAGGACCAGUAUGAAUAAAGCCUUUGAAGAGGGGAUUUUUCUUCAAAGAUUUUUUUAUUUUUUUAUUUUUGCCUUCUUUUUCUUAGCCUGAAAUUGCCUUCUUUUUUUGAAAAUGUGAUUUGAUUAAUUUUUGUGUGGUAAUUUAUAAGCACUAUGAUGAGUAAUUUGAGAGAGAAAUCGAUGUCGUUGUCUAAGUCGUAUGAAGACGAAAUGGACAAGUUGAUGAGAGGAAUGAAUGAUCCUGACUGGGAGUUGUGGGAGGAGUGGAGAUGGAAUGGGAAGGUGUAGGAAUUCAUGACUAAUUUGUAAACUAUGAUGAACUUAUCAAAAAAAAAAAAAAAAAAAAUUGCAGGUUGUGAUGAAA